UCCAUUUGCAGUACUAGCUCAAAACCUGCAUAACGCUGGGGAAAGUUUGGUAUCUCAUCAGACGACAACUGAAAAUGCAGCUAGUGACAACAAAACUCAAGGAACAUUCCUUAAACAAGAUGAUCCAAAGAAACAGGCUUUUGAUGCAACAAGCAGAACUGCUAAGCUCACUAGCAAUGAAAGUCGAUAUAGAAAAUACAGAUCAAAGCCUUGAAAGUGCUUGGAAGAUACUCCAAGAUUUUCUUCAACAAACAAAGGAUGGUGAUACACUCAAGUUCCAGCUCCCUAAGAUGAAUUUUGAACCUGAUAGCAGAUUCAAGAAGCAGUAAUGAAGGCAGUCGGCCAUCUUGGAGGUAUUGACCACGCAAGCUCACUUUUAACGAUGCACAACUUAUCCCAUGCCACUGUGUCUAAAAUGUCGAUGUGCAUGCAACCUGCUUUAUCUGAAGAUUCUGCUGGCAUCUCUGAGUAUAGUAGGGAUCAACUCAAGAUUGUAAGAAGAACAUUCCUACUUGCAACAGUAAUGCAGUUUCCACAUUCGAUUAACAUGAUUUGACUAGAAUUGAGAAGAUAGAUCAUUUAUCCCAAUAUAAUAUAAUGUGUGCAGUUUAGACUCCAUUAUACAGGUUUUGGGAUGAUUAAAAUAGAAUUAUGCAAACCUAUAUCUAGAAAGUAUAUAUGUGUUAGGACUUUAUUCCACUUACUUCAUUGUCAAAAGAAAUGAGAUGAAGAGAUUAAAAACUAAAGCCACCAAAAAUGAUUCCAAGUUAGUCAAUAAACAAAGAAUUCAACUUCCAAAUAUCACAAUCUCGACCAGAAAAAAAGAAGAAAAAAAUCCUGCAAAUCCCCUCUAUCAAGAACCCUCAAAUCACUUAGCUUGAUUUUCUCAAAUUUAAUGAAACCCCGCGUAACAUUAACCAUUUUACUUAUUUAAUCCAAGAAUAAACCCUGCCCAAAAAGAAAUCACAGAACCCACCUACAUUAUACACAAAUUUAUACAAGAAACCCCAUAACCAUUAAAAGAAUACUUAACUCAAACAUAAUUUGAAAAAAAUAAAACAAAUCCCUUGAUAACUAACCCAUUUCUUGCACAAAACAGUGAACUUGUUCAAAUAAAGGAAGUCAAUUAACAAAGAAAUUAACUUCCAAAUAUCAAAAUCUUGACAAAAAAAAAAAAUGAAACCCUCAAAUCCCCUCAUAUCAAAAACCCUCAAAUUUAAUUUUUACCCAGUAUCAUAAAUCAUUUUUUCAUGGAAACCCCACGUAACAUUCACUAUUUUAAUUCUUAAUAAUCCAAGAAAGAAAACCCCCAAAAAAAGAAAUCACAGAACUCACCUACAUUUCCCUUGCAUACACAAACUUAUACAAGAAACCCCAUAAGUCCAUAACCAACAUAUAAAGAAGUGAACCAGUAAUAAAAAAAAUACACAAAAAAGAUAAAACUCCAAUUAUUUUCCUACAGUACAAAAAAAGUAGACAUAAUAAACAGAGACCAAAAACAGAGAAAA